GGACUCAUAGCUCAGUUGGUUAGAGCGCUACGUUGACAUCGUAGAGGUCGUUGGUUCGAAUCCAAUUGAGUCCA
rnacentral:tRNA from 2 species